rnacentral:rRNA from 2 species
CAUCCUCCAAGGCUAAAUACUCCUGACUGACCGAUAGUGAACCAGUACCGUGAGGGAAAGGCGAAAAGAACCCCGGCGAGGGGAGUGAAAAAGAACCUGAAACCGUGUACGUACAAGCAGUGGGAGCACAGGUUUACCUGUGUGACUGCGUACCUUUUGUAUAAUGGGUCAGCGACUUAUAUUCUGUAGCAAGGUUAACCGAAUAGGGGAGCCGGAGGGAAACCGAGUCUUAAUUGGGCGUUAAGUUGCAGGGUAUAGACCCGAAACCCGGUGAUCUAGCCAUGGGCAGGUUGAAGGUUGGGUAACACUAACUGGAGGACCGAACCGACUAAUGUUGAAAAAUUAGCGGAUGACCUGUGGCUGGGGGUGAAAGGCCAAUCAAACCGGGAGAUAGCUGGUUCUCCCCGAAAGCUAUUUAGGUAGCGCCUCGUGAAUUCAUCUCCGGGGGUAGAGCACUGUUUCGGCUAGGGGGCCAUCCCGGCUUACCAACCCGAUGCAAACUGCGAAUACCGGAGAAUGUUAUCACGGGAGACACACGGCGGGUGCUAACGUCCGUCGUGAAGAGGGAAACAACCCAGACCGCCAGCUAAGGUCCCAAAGUCAUGGUUAAGUGGGAAACGAUGUGGGAAGGCCCAGACAGCCAGGAUGUUGGCUUAGAAGCAGCCAUCAUUUAAAGAAAGCGUAAUAGCUCACUGGUCGAGUCGGCCUGCGCGGAAGAUGUAACGGGGCUAAACCAUGCACCGAAGCUGCGGCAGCGACACUCAGGUGUUGUUGGGUAGGGGAGCGUUCUGUAAGCCUGCGAAGGUGGCCUGUGAGGGUUGCUGGAGGUAUCAGAAGUGCGAAUGCUGACAUAAGUAACGAUAAAGCGGGUGAAAAGCCCGCUCGCCGGAAGACCAAGGGUUCCUGUCCAACGUUAAUCGGGGCAGGGUGAGUCGACCCCUAAGGC